UUUUUUUUUUUUUUUGCUUUUUGCCAAAAAUUUUAUUGUUUAGUGUUUGGGUCCAUACUGCUUUUAUGAGUUGUAAUACUCACCCCAAAGGUUUGCAGCUUCGUAUUUGAAGCUAGAGGCCCCGGAUGUAUUGGCAGGAACAAACAACUCCAGGUGUGUUGCCUUAAGAACUCUAACACUCACCACGGAGGUUUGUAGCUUCACUCGUGAACCAGCGAUACCAUGAACCCCCCAGAAGGCAGAAAUUGCUAACAUAUCUGCAUAUAGGAAGGAACAAACGGGGCGCGCUCCCGCACACGCCGCCUUUAAGAAGCUGCACCAUUCUCUGCAAGGGUCCACUGCUUUAUUCUGACCCAGCGUCUGUUCACCCCAUGGGGCCACGCCAUUCCAGGAGCCACAGGAAGCCAGCACUGCUAGGUUGACCUCAGUCCUUUAGCCAGGACACAGCUGUGGGCACUAUGCGGUUGCCGCUGGGUUCAAGGAUGUGACUGGGAAAAAGAAACACAGGACCACAGGAACGUCUGUGACCCAUGCUUUCUCUAAAGAAGGCAUCAGGGCUUCAAUAUUUAGAGGGGAAAAAAUGGGCAGGAGAGGAAAGAAAAAAGGGGAGGAUACGGUCACCUUCUCGCGAAGCUCUGAUGAGGGCUCCGUAAAUCCAUAUGCUGCCAUGGAAAGAACGGGGCAGACGGACGGUCACCUAUGCGUUCCUCUCCUGCUCAGCGAGCAUGCUUUUGACAGGAGGAAGAGCAAAUGGGGCAGUCACGCACGCAUUUGUCUCGGGUGAGGGAGAAAUGACGUCCAGUCCUGCCUUUGUCCUGUGCCUGUGAAGAUAAGCUGUGAAUUCACAUUGUCAGGGUGAAAUUCAACAGAACAUUGUUUUAGGGUAAAGAUCUUGGGGCCCACAGGGAGGUACCUUGUGAGAAAACUGAGGGAGGCCGCCUAGGGAGGUAUGUGGCCUUCUAUCUAUCUACUUAGGAACAAAGCAGGAGGCAGUUAACCCAAGGUUAACUUUUCCCAAUGGCUUAGUGAGUUUGGGGCCCCAAGAUUUUGAUUUUCUGUUUACAUGUUCUCAAAGAACCAGCUAUUGGCCUUAUUGAUUUGACUAUCUCCGUUGCAUCUUGUGUUCUAUUUUGUGUUUAUUAGCUCUUUCCCUCUACUUUCUUUGAGCUCAUUCUUUUGAGUUUCAUGCAUAGCUCAUGUUCAGUCUCUUUUCCUCUCUAACACAGGCACUUAAAGUCUACAUUUACCUUGAAGUGUUUCUUCAGCUGCAAGCCACAUUUUGAUAUAAAAUUUUUCAUUACUGUUCAGAUAUCAGUUUCUCUAAUGUUUGUUAAUAAUUUCUUUUUUGACCUAUGUGGUAUUCAGAAGUCUGUUUUAAAACUUCCAAAUGUUAGCCAGGCAUGGCUUACACCUGUAAUCCAGCCACUUUGGGAGGCUGAGGCAGGAGGAUCGCUUGAAGCCAAGAGUUCAAGACCAGUCUGGGCAACAUAGUGAGACUCUAUUUCUACAAAAAAUAAAUUUCCAAAUACAUGCAGGGUUUUAAAAGUUAUCUUCUUGUUACUAAUGUCUAAUAUAAUUUUACUGUGGUCAGAUAAUUUGAUACUAAUUUUUUAUUUCUUCAGACUUGUUUGUGGCUAGAAUGUGGUCAGUCUUCUAACUAAAGUCAGAAGGUUAUACAAAUUUCUGCCAGAUUAAGCUUGCUAAUGGUGCUUUUCAAAUUUUCUAUACAUUUGAUAAUUAUUUUGACUGCUUAAUCCAUCAAUAUUGAGAAAAAUGUGUUAAAAAUCUACUAGUAUGUUUAUGGAUUGCAAAUCCCAAACCCUAUAACUAAAAAAUUAUAUAGGUAAAACUAAAAAAUUAUAUCUAUUGAAGUUAUUAAUAUAUUA
rnacentral:lncRNA from 1 species